rnacentral:rRNA from 1 species
GGGCCCGCACAAGCGGAGGAACAUGUGGUUUAAUUCGAUGAUACGCGAGGAACCUUACCCGGGCUUGAAUUGCAGACUAAUGCGGCGGAGACGCCGCAGUCCUUCGGGAAGUCUGUGAAGGUGCUGCAUGGUUGUCGUCAGCUCGUGCCGUGAGGUGUCGGCUCAAGUGCCAUAACGAGCGCAACCCCUGUCUCCUGUUGCCAUCAGGUAAAGCUGGGCACACUGGAGAGACUGCCGCCGUAAGGUGCGAGGAAGGUGGGGAUGACGUCAAAUCAGCACGGCCCUUACGUCCGGGGCUACACACGUGUUACAAUGGCCGGUACAGAAGGAUGGUGCCCCGCAAGGUGCAUCGAACCUGAAAAACCGGUCCCAGUUCGGACUGGGGUCUGCAACCCGACCCCACGAAGCUGGAUUCGCUAGUAAUCGCGCAUCAGCCAUGACGCGGUGAAUACGUUCCCGGGCCUU